rnacentral:tmRNA from 1 species
GGGGACGAUAGGAGUCGACAGGAGUCUACGGACACGGAUUGCGGGCCGAGGCGCCACCACCCUCGUUAAACAGGUGGCAACCGUANNNNNNNNNNGCGCGCCACAGGUCUCGCGGCCAAGAUUACUGGGGCUGGCCGGCCCACCCCUCGUCGGUGAAGGCAGGCCGGUGAGACCCACUCACCGACUACGCCCGUAGCAGAUCCGUGACGGACGCUCGCUGGACGGGGAGUUCGAUUCUCCCCCGUCUCCACCA